UUUUAGCAGGCUGAAGGACAAACCGCCCAAGUGGUAGACAAGACCACAGAUUUACACGACGUGCGCUGCUUCCUUCUGUCCUCAUUUCCACUUCAUGGACUUUCAUUGCCAAGUGAGUGUAAGGGAUGUUCAGAGUAACGGAAACGAAAUGGCAGCUAAACUCAGCCACCUACCUUGAGACUUAAUUUUUCAGGCAACUCCACACUAAGGAUUUUCUACCAUUUUCCAAAGCACGAAAAGAACACCACAGUGAGGGCACCUAACUCUGCCCCUUCUGCUCCCUAGCCUAUAAAUUGAAGACCGUCCUGAGGAAAGUGUCACUUAUGGAAUAAGCGACCAUGGAGAGGAGCUUCACCAGCUGACUGAUAAGAGCCUUGAGGGAGUAACUUAACUAGCUGAUCAUUGUGGGACCACCUUAUUUUGUUUGUAUGUGUGGCAAGCGCCAUCAAGCAUUGUUUCAUGUUGUAUAAUUAUGACAAGUAAAUGGGGACA